UUGAUUUCAAUUUUAUCAUAGAAAUCAGAAUGUCACGUCGUUUAACAAUAACAUAAGCUUACUUAUUUCUGAGAGAGGAACAAAAAAAAGGAUAGAGAAAGAAGAUAAAAGGAUUAGUUCAGACUUCGUUUUCUCAAAGAACGUGAUUUACGAUGAGAAAACAAAAGAACUAUCAGAUGAGUGAAAAAAGGGCGAGGUGGCAGGGAGAGGGAGCGAGUAGGGAAGUGGACCUCUAACGUGCGAGUAGGAUAUACCUCCGAGUGGGAUCCGGAGGAAAUGAUUUGUUCUUUC
rnacentral:lncRNA from 1 species